rnacentral:lncRNA from 1 species
CUCAUCCCCAGUCUCAAGGGGAAACCAGGACAAUGAGAACAGCCACUUGCCAUCAGGAGUCACUGAAGGGGCCCCAGGAUGGGAUGGUGGGGAGAUAAGAACCAUGAGAGAAGUUAGCACAAAGGAGUUAUGGGACAAAAGGUCCAAGAUAGGCAGAAAAGAAAAUGUUGCCAGUUGAUAGGGAAGAAAGGAAGUCAGAGGGCUCAGACACUGUGGGGGACAGAACAUCUCCAUGUGCACUCUCAUCUCUUGUAGUCAGCAACAGGUUUCCACAGGGAAGGCCCUACAUCAUCUGCUACCCUGAAAGAUCUGGAGGUAAGAGGCUCUGGGCAGAGGUGCAGUGACCCUUCGGGUCAACCCUCCAACCUCCUCCUCCAGGUGGGACUGGGUGCCCCUCUGCCAGCUGAGACAGCCCACACACCCCAGCCCUAACGAUCAUUCUCUCUACCUCUCCCCCGACUCCUGCUCCACCUCCUCCUCUCUGCAUGCACCUCAGAGCCCGUGCCAAGAACGAGCAGUAGUCCUGGAUUCAACGUCCGUAAAAAUCAGUCGACUGAAGAACACCAUCAAAUCUUUGAAACAACAGAAGAAACAAGUGGAACAUCAGCUGGAAGAAGAAAAGAAAGCAAACAACGAGAGACAGAAAGCCGAAAGGGAGCUAGAGGUUCAAAUCCAGACAUUGAUCAUACAGAAAGAGGAACUAAAUACGGACCUGUGCCACAUGGAACGUUCUCUCAGAUACUUUGAAGGUGGGAAUCUGGGCACCCUGUCAUCCUUCAACCUGGCACUUUGACAGGUCUUCAGGGGGAGUCCCUUGGGCCCCAUCUCAACUCUCUCAUUACAGAAGAGUCCAAGGACCUGGCUGUCCACCUGCAAUAUUCAUUGCAGUGUAAAGGAGAGUUAGAGAGGGCUCUCUCUGCUGUCAUCGCCACAGAGAAGAAGAAGGCAAACCAGGUGAGUCC